AUUGAACGCUGGCGGCAGGCCUAACACAUGCAAGUCGAACGAGUGGCGGACGGGUGAGUAAUGUCUGGGAAACUGCCUGAUGGAGGGGGAUAACUACUGGAAACGGUAGCUAAUACCGCAUACCAUCGGAUGUGCCCAGAUGGGAUUAGCUAGUAGGUGGGGUAAAGGCUCACCUAGGCGACGAGCCCUAGCUGGUCUGAGAGGAUGACCAGCCACACUGGAACUGAGACACGGCCCAGACUCCUACGGGAGGCAGCAGUGGGGAAUCGUGCACAAUGGGCGCAAGUCUGAUGGAGCCAGGCCGCGUGUAUGAAGAAGGUUUUCGGGUUGUAAAGUACUUUCAGCGGAGAGGCGUUAUCCGAAGAAGAAGCACCGGCUAACUCCGUGCCAGCAGCCGCGGUAAUUC
rnacentral:rRNA from 1 species